GCUGCGCUGGUCUCGCCAAAUGAAAAGAAUUCUGGUGUGCUGUAAAUGCUGACUGCACAAUAUGUGACUGGCCCGCGGCCGCUUUGAAGUCUUUCCCGACAGAAGAACAAUGCAAGUCUCACAUCUCGAUGAGGGUGGUGAUUUACCGUCUCACAUCUGGACGGUAAAACGUCGCAUCUGCGUACGUGUUCAGGGCCAAGAGCACGAGAACUGGCCGAAAGAAGGGAGCCGAUCCAACAAGAAUGCCGUCCGUCUUAUAUAUAUGUCAGCGCUAUCAUGCAGCGAUCACACGGACUGUACGGUUGCGUCGAAACAUGGGCUGAU
rnacentral:lncRNA from 1 species